CUUUAUUGUAGCUACAACCCGGCACAAAUGCAGGAGUCCAAAAAGAAUACAGCUCUGGGAGAACCUGGCAUCUUACCAAAAGUUUCCUGGCUCCUGCACGUACCAUAGAGCAGAGCAAAUAUUUUCCUGAGUGCUUCCAAGCGGCUGAGGGCAACCAGCAAGCAGGCUGAGACAGAGGCUCGCUUCACGAGGCCAGCAGAAGUCACUGGGGCUUCUGGGAGUGGGGUGGGGGAGGGAGGGUCCUGGCUCUGAGCCUCCCCCUCUCCCUUAGCCAUACGGUAGGGCGGAAGGUAGGGAGACCUUUCACCCACCUGGCCCUGGGGCUGGAGGUGGCUCCUUGUGGUUUGUGCGGAGGAAGGAUUAAGGCUAGAAACGCCUUCCUGGCCUUCUCCUCUUAUUGGGGAGAGGGUUACAGAGCCUGAUCCACACUGCGGAACGAUCUCCAAGUGGAAUACAAGAACAAGCAUAAAAAGCAGCCCCUGUCCUCAAGAAGCUCACGUUCUACUGGACAGGUGUGAAGAGGAGUCCCUGUCCUCAAGAAGCUGAAGUUCUGGUAGCAACUGGGGAAUGGCUGAACAAGUUGUGGUACAUGAAGAGUGAAUUAUAGAGAGACUGGAAGCAUGGAGGCCAAUUAGGAAGCUGUCACAAUCAUCCAUGGGAGAGGUGAUGAGGGCCUGGACGAAGGCCCAGACACUGACUGGGGCUGAAGCUAUUUAAAGAUGGAAAUUGCAAAGCUUGCAGUAGCAGUUGCAGCAGCAUCGCAGGAGGUAGGAGGAAACUGAGAGCUGGGCUCAGAGUCAGGAAGAACUCCCUUCUGGGCUCAGUCAAAAACUGACUUGUGUGAUCCUGGACAAGAAACAAACUCUCUGCCCUCCAGGCAACUCUCCAAGGGUAUAAGUUCUUGAAAAGUUGCAGAGCUACAGUAGUAAACUAGUUUUCCUUCACCAAGAACCCCUGUGAAAUCACAAAU